GGUUGCAUGUAAUUUUCAUUGUAUCUUGGUUUCCACUUGAUACUGUAAUUGCAUCAUCUAUUACUAUCUAUUAAAUUGGAGUUGGUGGUGAUGGUACGGUCGUCGUCACCGUAGGUUAAUUUCGUUAAAAUUACAACCAAUAUGCCAUUGUAUUUUUUUUUCUUCCAGUUUUUUUCACGAUUUCUCCUACUCCGUCUUACAACCGACGCCACCACACUCGCAUGCCGACCUCGACGGCGCCAUGAGUUGCCUACAUGGAAAAUAAAAUAAAUAGUUUGUGAUUUUGUUGACCCGUAGCAACGCGCGGGCACACCUGCUAGACCAAAAUUACGAGUUUGCCACCGUUGUCACCACUUUUAAUCCCGGUGCGUCUUUUUAUCCGAUUGAUUCUAAGCACCGACGUACGUCCUCGAUACUUUCCGCACGACCCUCUCACGA
rnacentral:lncRNA from 1 species